GAACUGGCUUUCUUACUUUUUGGUUUUUGGUGCUGGGGAUUGAACACGGGCUCAUGAGGGCUAGGCAAGCCCUGGGCCCCUGAGACCACCCGGCCUCUCUGCACCUGUGCGUUAGUCUUUGUGUUGACCACUUGUGUUAUAGGUGGACAGGGCUCACUGUGCAGACCUAGCAUACACAGCUUAAUUCCUGUAGUCUGCCCACACUCAGAGGCAGGAGCACUGCUGCCAUUUCCCCCCGCAGGCCAGGGACAGAGGUGGGACUCUUGCACUAUCUAUGUUUCAGCUUCAUCAUCAGUAAAAUAGAGAUAAUAAUAGUAGCCAUUUGUAGAGUAAGAACUAGAUGAGAUACAUGUUGUUAGGGAGGGGAAAAAUUUCCUGCGUCCUUUUUGGUCCAAUUAAUGGGGCCCUGCUAAUUUAAAAAUUAACAGGAGGAAAAGCAUUAAACUUCUAUUCAUAUUCACAUGCACAGAAGUUCACAGAAAAGAAGUAAGCUCAAAGAAGCAAACAGAUUGGAGGACUUGGGUUCCAUUUUAACAAAGGAAAUGGGUUUGUUUCAAGGGAAUCAAGGGCCAGGAGUAUGUGGGGGACUGUGAAGAUGGGUGACUGUAGUACAGGUGUCAGUGCAUGCUCAUCUUGAUGCCUUCCCCAUGUCCCCCAAGGAGUCACACCCCUUCCUAGUGUGGGAGUAGGGGCACCUUCACAAGGGAAAUGCGUACCUUGAUUUGAGGAGAACAGGAGUGGGCAUCGUCCUGGGUGACCCAAGGCCAAGCACACCUCCUGCACUGUUGAGUCCCAGUGCCUUUGACUCCAAGUAACUAUGCCAUGGGUGGCAUGUGGGAGGUAUUUAGGGUCCUUUCACAUGGAAAGUACUUAGCACUGUUCCUGCCCAAGUCCCAUACCCACAGUAAACAUUUGCUAUUAUUUUAUAUUUACUGUAGAUCUUUGGUGGUGGCUGUUUGCUUUUCUUUUUGGGGAUUGAACCCACUGGUGCUUUACCACUGAGCCACAUCCCAGUUCUUUUUCUAUUUUUUUGUUUUGUUUUGUUUUGAGACAGGGGUCUCACUAA
rnacentral:lncRNA from 1 species